CCUACGGGAGGCAGCAGUAGGGAAUCUUCGACAAUGGACGAAAGUCUGACCGAGCAACGCCGCGUGAGUGAAGAAGGUUUUCGGAUCGUAAAACUCUGUUGGUAGAUAAGAACGUUGGUGAGAGUGGAAAGCUCAUCAAGUGACGGUAACUACCCAGAAAGGGACGGCUAACUACGUGCCCGCAGCCGCGGUACUACGUAGGUCCCGCGCGUUGUCCGGUUUUAUUGGGCGUAAAGCGAGCGCAGGUGGUUUAUUAAGUCUGGUGUAAAAGGCAGUGGCUCAACCAUUGUAUGCAUUGGAAACGGGUAGACGUGAGUGCAGGAGAGGAGAGUGGAAGUCCAGGUGGAGCGGUGAAAGGCGUAGAUAUAUGGAGGAACACCGGUGGCGAAAGCGGCUCUCUGGCCUGUAACUGACACUGAGGCUCGAAAGCGGAGGGAGCAAACGGGAGUAGAGACACGGGUAGUC
rnacentral:rRNA from 1 species